GCGGUGGGUUUGAAUAAGUGACCGUUAACGGAAUUUAACGGAAUUUAACGGAAAACAGUAAACCGAGGACUUUUAUACGGAGAUAAAGAAAAUACUGAGAAACUUUCGGUGUUUUUGGGUUUAUUUUGCGGAUUUGGAGAUUUUUUUAAUCAGAACUACACGCCGGUUAUGGACGGUUUAAGAUUUGUGAUGUUCAUUUCAACUCUCACCGCCUUCCUCUCAGCUACCAGCGCGGUUCACAUGUGUGACGUUGUAAACGAAAUCGAGCUGGAGAGGGAGCGAUGUGAAAGCAAAAUCGAGGAAAAUAUCACAUCAGGCUGCAAAGGAAUGUGGGACAUUAUUGCUUGCUGGCCAUCAGCCAGUCUGGGAGAGCAAGUGGUCAUCUCUUGUCCAAACUACUUCAGCUACUUCAGCGACCACCAAAGUGAAGGUAAUCUCUCCAAAACGUGCACCGAGGACGGCUGGACUGAAGUGCACCCCAUAACCAUUGCUCUGAACUGUGGGUAUAAUCUCAAUGGCACAGUGGACGAUGAUAAUUUCUUCCGGUCGAUUAAGAUCGGCUACACGGUUGGACACAGCGUUUCUCUCAUCUCUCUGACUACGGCUAUAAUAAUACUGUGUGUCUUCAGGAAGCUUCACUGUACGAGGAAUUACAUCCACAUGCACCUUUUUGUUGCCUUCAUCCUUAAAGCCAUCGCGGUGUUCACCAAAGACGUCGUCCUCUACGAUGUUGUACAGGAGUCGGACAACUGCUCCACCGGUUCUGUCGGCUGUAAAGCUGUGAUGAUCUUCUUCCAGUACUGCAUCAUGGCAAGUUUCUUCUGGCUUCUGGUUGAAGGUCUUUACCUCCACGCCUUACUGGCUGUCUCCUUCUUCUCAGAGAGGAAGUACUUUUGGUGGUACAUCCUGAUCGGCUGGGGAGGGCCGCUGGUCUUCAUCACAGCCUGGAGUUUCGCCAAAGCCUAUUUUAAUGACGUUGGGUGCUGGGAUAUCAUCGAGAACUCAGACCUGUUCUGGUGGAUUAUCAAAACACCAAUAUUAGCUUCCAUCCUGAUGAACUUCAUCCUGUUUAUUUGUAUCAUACGGAUCCUGCGGCAGAAGAUCAACUGCCCCGACAUCGGGAGGAAUGAAUCGAACCAAUAUUCGAGGCUGGCCAAAUCCACGCUGCUGUUGAUUCCGCUCUUCGGGAUAAACUUCAUCAUAUUCGCUUUCAUCCCAGAGCACAUCAAAACGGAGCUGAGGCUGGUGUUCGACCUCAUCCUGGGUUCGUUUCAGGGCUUCGUGGUGGCGGUUCUCUACUGCUUCCUAAAUGGAGAGGUGCAAGCCGAGAUCAAGAGGAAAUGGAGACGGUGGCACCUGGAAAGGUUUCUUGGCUCCGGUACCAAGUACCAGCACCCGUCUAUGAGCAGCAACGGCGCCAACUCCGCCACCCAGAUCUCUCUGCUGACUCAGCGCGCCUCCGCCUGCCACGACGACUCCUCUAUAGCUGUGUAGCACAGCUGGGGAGCUCCGGUUAGCCGACACAGGACAAUCGUCUUCUGUAGAUCCACUCAUGCUGUGUGUCUUGUGCAUCUGGGCUCGUACUGGACAGUUCAGAAUCAGAGUGAGCUGAGGAGAGGAAGGUAAGAGUGAGGAAGAGGAAGGACAACAAGCUAAAGUAAGGGAGCUAGAGAUAGAGAGAGAGCAGCACUUAAGUUGUCCGGAGCAGCUCUGUCAAUUUUGGAACGGGCUUUUCCUCGCCACCCAUGUUCCAGCAGCUCCUGUUCCUUGUUGGUUUUUGGAGAACACGAUUGACUGGACAAAUUUUGUGUCAUUUUUAUUUUUUCCUGACUUUGGCUAAAGUAACCACUGUUCCACGUACUGUGUACUUACAGACGUCUGAUUGUGCAGGUGACUGGUACUGAAAGUUGCUUAAAAAUGGCUCUUCGUGAAAUUCCUGACUAAAACCUAUGAGCGCUACACUUUUCCAUUGUUACAUGUGGCUUCGCGUGUCCGUGCCGAGACUGCCAUGGCAUACAUGUUUUUUUUUCACAUGUGUAUAAAACUUCCCCUCAGCUGUUACAGUUCUCAGAUCGUUGUGCAGGUACAGUGUAAAUAACUUGAACUUUGUACAGGUUCCUUUCAUAGACCUCGUAACGAGGAUGUACAGUUUGUCUGAAUGUUCAUUCAUUUCACAUUUCACGUUCAGUUCGAUAUAACGUAACGCGUGCCAACGUUUAAAACACAAAUGACCUCUCGUUUAUUGCCAUGAUGAAUGUACGUCCUCACGAAGUGGAUUUGAAAACGUGUAUUGCGUCUGUGCCCAACAUGUCGUGUACUUGAGUGUGUGAUUUUUUCUGUAAACGAUAAGCUGCCAACCGUUUCGGACACGCUGUACAGAUUUAAACGGGCCUUUUAACAUAAAUACAUGAUUAGCUUUAGCACUGGAUAGCGUGCUUUAAUAAUCUGUGUGUCGUCCGAACUGUGGAGUGCUGAAUGCAUGCUGCACAGGCAAAAUCUGCUUCUACAUGCAGCCAGAAGAAGAAACAGAACAGAUAUUUCCAAUCAUAUGUAUUGUUACCGUAUUGUAUUUUUGUAAAGAAAAAAGGUAAAUAUUUAACAUAAAUAUGCAAAUAAACUAGAAUUAUUGUACA